GAUGAAGAACGUAGCGAAAUGCGAUAAGUAAUGUGAAUUGCAGAAUUCAGUGAAUCAUCGAAUCUUUGAACGCACAUUGCGCCCGCUAGUAUUCUGGCGGGCAUGCCUGUCCGAGCGUCAUUUCAACCCUCAAGCCCCCGGGCUUGGUGUUGGGGAUCGGCGAGCCUCCGCGCCCGCCGUCCCCUAAAUCUAGUGGCGGUCUCGCUGUAGCUUCCUCUGCGUAGUAGCACACCUCGCACUGGGAAACAGCGCGGCCACGCCGUUAAACCCCCAACUUCUGAACGUUUGACCUCGGAUCAGGUAGGAAUACCCGUUGAACUUAAGCAUAUCAAUAAGCGGAGGA
rnacentral:misc_RNA from 1 species